GCUGGGCAUGGAGACACAUGCCUGUAAUCCCAGCAGCUCAGGAGGCUGAGGCAGGAGAUCGCGAGUUCAAAGCCAGCCUCAGCAAAAGCACUAAGCAAUUCAGUGAGACCCUGUCUCUA
rnacentral:sRNA from 1 species